rnacentral:tRNA from 1 species
GGCCGAGUACCCAAGUGGACUAAGGGGACGGAUUGCAAAUCCGUUAUCCGUGGGUUCGAAUCCCACCUCGGCCU